GGAGGAGGUCCUGUGGCACCAGUAGUACUACUUUCAGAGGCAGUGGGGGCCGUAGGAACUGCCAUAAGUAAACCAAUGAGGUCUGUCAAUUAUUUUGUUUCAUCAGAAUCAGAAGAAUCAUAUGCAUCAGAAUCAUCUAAAGAUGAUUGUUCUGCAGGCAUAAUAGGUAAUUGGGUUGGUGGAGCAGGAGUGUGCUAAGAAAGCAUAUGUUGUGGUGGAGAUGGUAGAACAGAGCUCAUAGAAGCUUUGCCUUUAGUUGGAUCUCUGGGUAAAGA
rnacentral:misc_RNA from 1 species